UUCUGUUAUAUGUGAACAUUUAUAUAAAUGGAAAAGUGAACAAAAAGAAGACGAAUAUAUAAAAAAAAGAGAGGAGUAAAACGGAAAACAUGGAAUAAGAAGAAGAAAAUCAAGAUCAAGAGGAGCAGAAGAAAACAAGAAGAAGGAGGAUAAACACUGAGAAAAUCGUAGUUCUAGAUAAUAUCUAGAGUAAAGGUGAAGAAAAAAUUCAAGAGACUGUUUUACUUUUUCUCUUUCUCUGUUCAAUUAAUUGGUUUUUGAGUCGAAAACAACUUGAGAAAUGGAACAACAACAAUAACGAUAAAUAGUAUCAACAGAGAGAAUCUAAAGAGAGAGAAAAAGAAACCCAACGAAAGAAGAAAAUCAAACUAAUUCAUUAGAAAAUCAAGAAGACAAAUUAUGAUGGCACAGCGAGGAAGAAAAUCGUGAAGUAAAAAAAAGAAAAAUGGCUCUAAGAAAUGUAUAGAUUCAUCUUCCCACCUUUACUCCAACUUAACUGCUUUUAGUUUUAAAGGUUCUCCCUCAUACCCUGGGAGUGAGAAAGGUAAAGGACUGACAGGUAAAAUGAAGCGAUUGACUGUGAAUGUUGGUUCAAGCUUGAAACUCGUAUGCAUGAUACCAGAGGAGGAAAAAGGAAAGAGAAAUGAAAACAGAAACUGUUUUGAUGGUUUGUCUCUUAAUGUGAAUAUUUAUCUGAAUCAUUAUCAUUCCUUUUAACAUUCAUUAUAAUAACACAUCAUCAUCAUCAUGGAAACUAUUACAAUUGCGAUUUAAGAGGCUGCAGAAAAAAAGGAUUUCUUGUGUGUGAUAUAUUAAAGCCUCCCUGCUAAUGGACUCUUAUCUUGCAUGAUGAUCACACCACAAAAUAUUAAUAGAUUACCCACCGUCAUCUAAAAUGAGAUACAUCUUUAAGUGGUUUUACUUGGCGGAGGAAGACUUGAAGAGGCAAAGAUAGGCGAGAGAGAGAGAGAGAGAGAGAGAGAGAGAGACAGGGUGGGUGAAUAUCUUUAUGCAAUUAUCAUAAUUGGAAACGGAAACUUGAGUUUUACAGGAAGUGGAAUCGAGGGGAAAAUAGCUGU